rnacentral:tRNA from 1 species
GUUUUAGUAGUUUAAAUAAAAUCCUGGUCUUGUAAACCAGAAAUAAGGUUACCUUCUAAAACU